GAAGCUCAGGCUCAGCUAGAAGCAGCUGCUCACCUGGUAAAGCUGCUGGACUCACCUGCUCAGAGGUCAAUGAGAUCAGGUUGGUGGGAGGAGCCAGUCGCUGUGCAGGAAGUCUGGAGCUGAAAUUUCUUGGUCAACAGAGACCUGUGGAUCCCCGUUUCUUCACCCUGAAGACAGCAGCUCUCAUCUGUGAACAUCUGAACUGUGGCUCUACUGUUUCUUUUGAACCAACUGAUGUGUCACAUCAGUCUGUGUGGAUUAUCCAUUCAUAUUAUGUUCAAUCCCAUUCUGAUCUGUGGAACUCUGUGACAUCAAUUAACUCCCCUUUCAGCUUGAAACUCACCUGCUCAGACUCAGUGCGGCUGCUGAAUGGAUCCAGUCGUUGUUCAGGCAGACUGCAG